rnacentral:rRNA from 1 species
CCUACGGGAGGCAGCAGUGGGGAAUUUUGGACAAUGGGCGCAAGCCUGAUCCAGCAAUGCCGCGUGAGUGAAGAAGGCCUUCGGGUUGUAAAGCUCUUUUGUCAGGGAAGAAACGGCAGUUUCUAAUACAGAUUGCUAAUGACGGUACCUGAAGAAUAAGCACCGGCUAACUACGUGCCAGCAGCCGCGGUAAUACGUAGGGUGCAAGCGUUAAUCGGAAUUACUGGGCGUAAAGCGUGCGCAGGCGGUUUUGUAAGUUUGUCGUGAAAUCCCCGGGCUCAACCUGGGAAUGGCGAUGAAGACUGCAAGGCUAGAAUCUGGCAGAGGGGGGUAGAAUUCCACGUGUAGCAGUGAAAUGCGUAGAGAUGUGGAGGAACACCGAUGGCGAAGGCAGCCCCCUGGGUCAAGAUUGACGCUCAUGCACGAAAGCGUGGGGAGCAAACAGGAUUAGAUACCCUGGUAGUCCACGCCCUAAACGAUGUCUACUAGUUGUCGGGUUUUAAUUAACUUGGUAACGCAGCUAACGCGUGAAGUAGACCGCCUGGGGAGUACGGUCGCAAGNUUAAAACUUCAAAGGAAUUGACGGCUUGNGAGNGCGAGCGACGACGAGGAGAGG